rnacentral:rRNA from 1 species
UGGCGAACGGGUGAGUAACACGUGGGUAACCUGCCCAUCAGAAGGGGAUAACACUUGGAAACAGGUGCUAAUACCGUAUAACACUAUUUUCCGCAUGGAAGAAAGUUGAAAAGGCGCUUUUGCGUCACUGAUGGAUGGACCCGCGGUGCAUUAGCUAGUUGGUGAGGUAACGGCUCACCAAGGCAACGAUGCAUAGCCGACCUGAGAGGGUGAUCGGCCACACUGGGACUGAGACACGGCCCAGACCUCUACGGGAGGCAGCAGUAGGGAAUCUUCGGCAAUGGACGAAAGUCUGACCGAGCAACGCCGCGUGAGUGAAGAAGGUUUUCGGAUCGUAAAACUCUGUUGUUAGAGAAGAACAAGGAUGAGAGUAGAACGUUCAUCCCUGACG